GCAAGCCGGGUCAGCAGGCCCUACAGGCUGCGGGACACUAGGUCACGAGGUCGUCCAUUCCCCGCGCAGCCCACGCCAAGCCGCUGCUUACCCGGAGCCGGAGCGGACUCUUCUCUUCUAGAGACGGGUCAACUCUGCGGCGGCGGGGCGCACAGGGGAGGAGCUUCCUCUCUCCGACCUGGCCCUCCCAGGCGCUGCCAGCCACCCGAGCCUGCCUGUCGGAGCUCCUCCCUCCCCAGACUUCUCAGGCGACGUCAGCGGCGGAUGCCGAGGCGUGGAUGAGGGCCCCUGGCCCGCGAUCCUCCCAGCAAGGCUCCCGCCUCGGCCUGAGGCCCGAGAUCUCCGCUUUGUUGUGCCCAGACGACGUGUGCCACACCGGCGGGGCUCGGGCGGGGGCUUGGGAGUGGGGAAGUGAGCCAGGGGCGCUCAAUUUGUCUUCUCUCCCCCCAACCCGCUAGGUUGGAAAGGUUUUCUUUUGGGGAAAUUUCCUCUCCGCAGCCUCACACCCAGUCAGCGGACCCUCCCAUCCAGGAGGAAUCUCCUCUGGUCCCAUCGGCGCGUCUUCCGGGAGUCGCCAAACACCGGAGGUAGCAGGGUGGGUGUGGCAGCUGCCGUUUCCUGACUCCGUGCCUGCGCGGAAAGCCCUUUGAGGGAGUGCGGUCGUGACUUACUAGGGCUCCGCACUUCUCAGCCCGACAGAGAUUGAAAAGUAACCUUGAGAGAGUCCCUCCCUUGAUUCCAGGGAAAGUUACUAGAGGAUGUGCUCCAACAAAACAUGAGAGCAAGACAAAGAGAAAGACAUGGGAUCCAGAAAAAAGGACCAGGAGAAUGUGAAGGGAAAUGCCAGGGUGAAAGAUAUGUGGCAGAAUUAGAGAGCAAUCGUUUUCACUGCAGAAGGAAGAUGGCAGACUCCAAGAAGGAAGACUGAUGAUGGAUAUACCAUAAUUUACCCCUCAUUGGUGGACACUUAGCUGGUUUCCACAUAUUUACUCUUACAAAUUAUGCUGCAAUAAGUAAUCGUUACAUAUGUCAUUUCAUACAUGUGCAAGUGUAUCCAUAUAUAUGUCCUAGAAGCUGAAUUGCUGGACAAAAGAGUUAUGUUCAUUUGUAAUUUUGGUUUGUAUUGUUGAAUUGAUCUUCACUGAGGUUCUUCCAAUUUUUUUUUU